rnacentral:lncRNA from 1 species
CGCCUUUCGCGCCCUUUCUGUGAGCCCGGGCGGGCGAGCGGCGGCUGCGGCUGGCGGCGGCCCCAGAUGCUUCAUCUGCAAUGCAGGCCACAAUGGAGGGGUGAUCGUCCCGGGAGGGUGAGGAGGGGGCGCAAGCCCGCGACGGAGGGGCUUCGGUACAGCCCGGGCGGCAUGCACACGCCUGCCCGCGCGCCAAUCCGCGGAGGCCGCCGCUGCAGCCCCGCGUGGGGUGACUGCGCAGAGCCAAUGGCCUCGCUGACGGCGAGCGCGCGACUGCACCGCGGCUUCCCCCGCCCUGCUCAUCAAGCGCGGCCUCCGCCCUGCAGCGGCUGCUGCGGCAGGAGACUGCCGGCUGGAGGGACGAGGACAGCAUCCGGGAAAGUCUUGGGCUACCGGGCACCGGACGCCCCGCCCCAAAACUGUUUUUUUUUUUUUUGUGACUGCUGGCUACCAAGAAGAAGAGAUGGAGGCCAGCGCCUGUGGGGCAAAAGGGCCCGGUCUAGCGCCCUGGCCGCCCUCCUGGCUAGCACUCCAAGACUCUCUCCUUUGUGUAGUUGUGGCGCUUGCAGAUCUAAGGAGGAAAAGCUGUUGUAGUUCAUUUCCUGAAGCCCGAAGCAACGAAAUGGGUUAUGAAGGAGCAAUAACAAGAGAUAGGAGAGGUUAUAUCCCACAGAAAGAGGAAACUGAGUCAUGGAGAAACAGAACCUCUAGUCACUAAGGGUGUACCAGGCCUCCCCUAAUGAUCCUAGUGGUAAAAUAGACCUGAAAGCCUUUGACUGUCAAACCAGGCUAAAGAUCUAACAGUGCGGUAGACAGAAGGAAGGUUCUCUAGGCAGAUGACAGAACUUCUGCUAAGGCAUGGCUUUGACCUUCUCACCUUGAGAUCAGAGAAUGCGUGUAGUCACUGCUUAAUCUAGGUCAUCGGGUGCCCUUUCGGUAAGGAAGUCAUCUGUCUAACUGAUUCACACCUGCUGAGCAAGAAUUAGCCAGAUAAAGACAGAAUCGUUCUGAGGCUCUAUAUUUCCCAGUUUGUUGUUUGUUUGUUUGUUUGUUUGUUGUCUGCACCUGGCCACACGAUAGGGGUCUUCUGCCUUUCUAUUCUCAAAGGAGGUGUAAAAUUCACCCUUUCAACCCCUGCCUUAAAAAUCUACAGUCCCUGAGGGAGGGUUAUGAGGCAGUCUUCACUUUUAAGUUCUGAUUUAAGCUGUGCAUCUUGAAAACAGAAGCCAGUCCCUAUGUCCUGUUCCAACUGGAUAAUGUGCACUAGCUGGGCUAGCUGGUACCUAAAUACUGGUGUCAGCCAUUAGGUAGGCGCUGUAGUCCCAGCACUCGGGAUGCAGAGAAAGAAGGAUCAAGAUCCACCUAGACAGUAUCAUAGAUAGGUAGGUAGGUAGGUUGGUAGGUAGAUAGAUGAUGGAAGGAUGGAUGAAUGGAUACAUACAUACAUACAUACAUACAUACAUACAUACAGAGAUUGGAUCAAGAUCCACCUAGACAGUAUCAUAGGUAGGUUGGUAGGUAGAUAGAUGAUGGAAGGAUGGAUGAAUGCAUGGAUACAUACAUACAUACAUACAUACAUACAUACAUACAUGCAUAGAUUGGAUCAAGAUCCACCUAGACAGUAUUAUAGGUAGGUAGGUAGGUAGGUAGGUAGAUAGAUAGAUAGAUAGAUAGAUAGAUAGAUAGAUAGAUAGAUAGAUAGAUGGAUAGAAGAUAGAAAGAUAGGUGGAUCGAUGAAAAUAAAGCAAAACUUUCCAGGAAAGCCCACUGUAAGGUUCAGCUAGCAGUCAGCAGGAGGAGGGCCCUAUUAAAUCACAGGGGAAAUAACUACUUGUUAGGCAAGGUUAAUGAGAUUCACAUUAAUUUAAACAAAAUAGCCUCUAGUUACAUUGUUUGUUUUUGUUGCACUUUCCUGCACUUGAUCUUAAUGGAUUUAGAUUCAUCUUGUUAUUUACCAAUUUGCUGUGAAAUAUUUUGUUUGGUUCUAUCUAUCCAUCUCAUUAGUGUCAAGCUCCUCCCUAUAGCCAGACACGCAAGGUUCUUAACCCAUGAUAAUUGACAUUUCUGCCCAUAAAUGUCCAGAGACAGAAGGUUAAAACUGAUUUAUCUGCUCUGGCUGGAGCUUAAGAGAGUAUUUGGCACAUAGAAGGCCCAGGAAAAAAAAAAACAAACUUUAAUUAAUGAAGGAAAAUACUUGUAGUUGCAUAUCUUAGUGAACUUUCUGCUCAAUUCAGUGCAGGAACAUAAAAAGGGAUGAGAAAGAAGCAUCUAGACUGACCGAUCGGUUACCAUGAACUGUAACUGUUAACUCUCUGUAAAGACACUCAAUGGAAAAUUCCUAGGAAAUCAUUAUCUGGGAAUAGGAUAUUGGUGCCAGUCUCCAAGACUUCUGGGUGUUUAAAAGUUAAAUGCUUGACAACAAGGAUGAAUCUAUCUAUUCUGCAUUCACAGUCUCUUCCAGAGCCCACCUCCCUACAAUUCCUCACCCAACACCAACCAGGAAAGGGCAAGCAUUGGUGUCCCUGUGAGACAGUCCUUAUGGUAGUAACACCCCAAGCAUCUGGCGCAGUCUUGGGGAAUAAACUGAAGGGGGAGUUGAGACUGACUUCAGCCGCCCCCUGGACUCCCAGACAGUCCCCAUGCUCAGCAGAUAUACAGAGCUUCAAAGCAAACCUCUUCUUGCAGAGAAGAAAAAGACACCUCCCAAUAGUAGUGUUUGCCUACGUGCUCAGAGCCCAGUGGCCUUUAGCUGGGCCUGUUGGCAUAGGCUUGUACCUGCAGCUACUCAGGACGCCGAGGCAGGAGAAACACAAGAUUCACUGCUGGUCUGUCCAGCUUUCCAUGACCGUAUCUCAAAAUAAAGAAGUAGAAAAG